UACAGAGGUCCCAAGCGUUGUUCGGAUUCAUUGGGCGUAAAGGGUGCGUAGGCGGCUUGGUAAGUUGGGUGUGAAAGCCCCGGGCUCAGCCCGGGAAGGGCACUCGAAACUGCCGAGCUGGAGUGCCGGAGGGGAGAGUGGAAUUCCUGGUGUAGCGGUGAAAUGCGUAGAUAUCAGGAGGAAUACCGGUGGCGAAAGCGACUCUCUGGACGGCAACUGACGCUGAGGCACGAAAGCGUGGGGAGCAAACAGG
rnacentral:rRNA from 1 species